rnacentral:rRNA from 1 species
CAGCAGCCGCGGUAAUACGUAGGUGGCAAGCGUUGUCCGGAAUUAUUGGGCGUAAAGGGGUCGCAGGCGGUUUCUUAAGUCUGAUGUGAAAGCCCCCGGCUCAACCGGGGAGGGUCAUUGGAAACUGGGAAACUUGAGUGCAGAAGAGGAGAGUGGAAUUCCACGUGUAGCGGUGAAAUGCGUAGAGAUGUGGAGGAACACCAGUGGCGAAGGCGACUCUCUGGUCUGUAACUGACGCUGAGGAGCGAAAGCGUGGGGAGCGAACAGGAUUAGAUACCCCUGUAGUCCCUGUCUCUUAUAC